CCUACGGGCGGCAGCAGUGGGGAAUAUUGCACAAUGGGGGAAACCCUGAUGCAGCGACGCCGCGUGAGUGAAGAAGUAAUUCGUUAUGUAAAGCUCUAUCAGCAGGGAAGAAAAUGACGGUACCUGAGUAAGAAGCCCCGGCUAACUACGUGCCAGCAGCCGCGGUAAUACGUAGGGGGCAAGCGUUAUCCGGAUUUACUGGGUGUAAAGGGAGCGUAGACGGCAGUGCAAGUCUGGAGUGAAAGGCGGGGGCUCAACCCCCGGACUGCUCUGGAAACUGUACGGCUGGAGUGCAGGAGAGGUAAGUGGAAUUCCUAGUGUAGCGGUGGAAUGCGUAGAUAUUAGGAGGAACACCAGUGGCGAAGGCGGCCUGCUGGGCUUUAACUGACGCUGAUGCACGAAAGCAUGGGGAGCAAACAGGAUUAGAUACCCUUGUAGUC
rnacentral:rRNA from 1 species